UCAACAACAUAAAAGUUCAAACCUGAGACUAAUGAAAGUUCAAACACAUUAUAAUCUUCCCGUUGAUAUUUUACUUGGAUAUCCUCACUCGUAGGCCUCUUAGGUGGGACUUCUCCUCAGGAUACACUGGUCACGUGAUGACAUUUGAGGUUGGUGCAGUGCUUGAGGAUGCAAAUUGGCAGGCUCCAGUGAAUUGUUUUGAUGAGAAUGACAAGGAAAAGAAUAUCCCUAUUUUGGGAUCUGCUGUUCGUGGUGGUUCUCUUGGGAGUUAUGACAUAGGCUCUGCCACUUGGGCAGACCUUAGGAAAGCACCCCUCCAAAGUGCAAUGGAAGUCACUUACAUUUGUGUCCACUUUGUUUUAAAAGAACUUGUGCGGAAGUCAAUUUCAGAAACUGAGGUCAGCAAUGUUUCAGCAAUGUCCCAGCAAUGUUUUCAGAAAUGGAAGUCAAUUUUAGUGCACCGUUAUUUGAGACUAAAUAUGGUGGAUUAUCUACUAUCUAUAUUGAAAAUCGUCACAUGGCUUAUUAAUUAGAAAGGUGUCAGUCACAAUUCCCUCGGGUGAUUAAUUGGAAAACUAACAUAUAAGGGAAGGCAUGUGUUUAACCUGUACUAUGUAGUUUGUUGAUGAUUGUAAUUUGUAAUAAGUGUUGCCUAUUUUGAGUCUUAACAUAAUUUUUCAAAUGUCACUCUUGUAGCUUCAGCAUUGGAAUCUGGAAGCUUUCAUUCUCCUGUUGAUGAAAAGUUGAUUUUGAAGUUUGUGGUUGAAGAGAUGAUGAUUGGUCACACAGAUCACAUAUCGGAGUCAAGAUCAUUGAAGGAUCAAAUACUUGGCUACUCUGGGUCUGAAUUAAGUGAUGAUGAAGAGGAAGAUUGUUUGGAACAGAUACUAUACUCAACAUCCUUUGAAGAGCUGGCAAGCAAUUACGUUAAAUAUGACACGGUCAUAUGGCUUGCUAUAUCAUUACUUCUAGUUUUAGCUUGGAGAAUUGGCCUUCUUAUGUUGCUUUACCUGCCCAUCAGGAGAUAUGUGCUUCAAAAGGAUUUGUCUUCUUGCAUAUUAUAUGUUACAUGUAUCGAAGUAGUUUACAAGGUAUCAAGACCUUCAUUUAUACCAUUUUGGGGGACUGUAACAAUUGAGAGGCGUGUACCUCUUUCUCUGGUCAUUGAUAUUAUCAUUGAACAAGAUGAUUGUAACAGAGGCUUCAAAGAUCACACAAGAUGUGAGUACAAGUGGGAAGCAUGCUGAUCCAAGCACAGAUGAGGAAAACAUAUGCCAGGAGCAACUGAGGGAUCAGUUGUUUUGAGAUCAUCGUCAAAAAGUUUGAAGGAAUGAUGGCAUCUGGGAAGACAACUGUGGGACGGAUAUUGUCAGAGACGCUUUCUUACUCGUUUUAUGAUAGAAUGGAUCAUCAAGGGCAUAGCCAGAACCCAUCUAUGGUAGUGGAGCUCAAUUAGCAUAUGGUUCUAACACCAGCUUCAGCAACAACUCCAACAAUUUUGGUCAAACCAGUAGCAAGAAAUUGAGAAGGUUACUGAUUUCAAGAACCACAGUCUUCCCCUGGCAACUAAUAUAUUAUGUUUAUUAUUAAUAAAUUUAACAAUUACCUGUUAAAUCUAAUUAUAUAUAUUGUUAAUUGUUAAUAUGAUUAAGUUACAAUAUUUUAACAAUUGUUAAAUGGCUAUUUGUAUUCAUAUUCAUUAUUUAGG